rnacentral:rRNA from 1 species
AUACGGAGGGUGCAAGCGUUACUCGGAAUCACUGGGCGUAGAGCGCGCGCAGGCGGCUAUUUAAGUUGGAUGUGAAAGCCUACGGCUCAACCGUAGAACUGCAUCCAAAACUAUUUAGCUAGAGUGUGGGAGAGGAAGAUGGAAUUAGUUGUGUAGGGGUAAAAUCCGUAGAGAUAACUAGGAAUACCAAAAGCGAAGGCAAUCUUCUGGAACACUACUGACGCUGAGGCGCGAAAGCGUGGGGAGCAAACGGGAUUAGAAACCCUAGUAGUCC